rnacentral:lncRNA from 1 species
UUAGAUGCCUCAGCACUAAUGAUCAUGAUCAGAGACCCCGAGUUCUCUCGUGCUGCUACGCUUCGCAACACAUCGCACAAAUGGAAUAUGUGUUGACACACCCCUCUAAAGAAGCCAGCUGCCAUGUUCUGAGUACUCUCUGGAAGGGCCUGCAUGGCAAGGAACUGAUGUUUCCAGCCAGCAGCCAGCAAGAACUGCAAGCCUUGUGAAUGAGCUUGGAAGCAGAUCCUCCCCUCACUCAAGCCAUGAUAUGACAACAGCCUGAGACCC